rnacentral:rRNA from 1 species
AUUGAACGCUGGCGGCAUGCUUUACACAUGCAAGUCGAACGGUAACAGGGUGCUUGCACCGCUGACGAGUGGCGAACGGGUGAGUAAUGCGUCGGAACGUGCCGAGUAGUGGGGGAUAACGCAGCGAAAGUUGUGCUAAUACCGCAUACGUACUGAGGUAGAAAGUGGGGGACCUUCGGGCCUCACGCUAUUCGAGCGGCCGACGUCUGAUUAGCUAGUAGGUGAGGUAAGGGCUCACCGAGGCGACGAUCAGUAGCGGGUCUGAGAGGAUGAUGCGCGACACUGGGACUAGAACACGGCCCCGACUCCUACGGGAGGCAGCCGUGGGGGAGUUUGGGCAAUGGGCGGAAGCCGGAUCCAGCCAUGCCGCGUGUCUGAAGAAGGCCUUCGGGUUGUAAAGGACUUUUGUCGGGGAGGAAAUCCCCAGCGUUAAUACCGCUGGGGGAUGACAGUACCUGAAGAAUAAGCACCGGCUAACUACGUGCCAGCCGCCGCCGUAACAC